rnacentral:rRNA from 1 species
UGGGGAAUUUUGGACAAUGGGCGCAAGCCUGAUCCAGCCAUGCCGCGUGCGGGAAGAAGGCCUUCGGGUUGUAAACCGCUUUUGUCAGGGAAGAAAUCUUCUGAGUUAAUACCUCGGGAGGAUGACGGUACCUGAAGAGUAAGCACCGGCUAACUACGUGCCAGCAGCCGCGGUAAUACGUAGGGUGCAAGCGUUAAUCGGAAUUACUGGGCGUAAAGCGUGCGCAGGCGGUUUUGUAAGACAGAGGUGAAAUCCCCGGGCUCAACCUGGGAACUGCCUUUGUGACUGCAAGGCUUGAGUGCGGCAGAGGGGGGAUGGAAUUCCGCGUGUAGCAGUGAAAUGCGUAGAUAUGCGGAGGAACACCGAUGGCGAAGGCAAUCCCCUGGGCCUGCACUGACGCUCAUGCACGAAAGCGUGGGGAGCAAACAGGAUUAGAUACCCUGGUAGUCCACGCCCUAAACGAUGUCAACUGGUUGUUGGGAAGGUUCCUUCUCAGUAACGUAGCUAACGCGUGAAGUUGACCGCCU